UUAAGUUCAGCGGGUAUUCCUACCUGAUCUGAGGUCAACCUUAGAAGAGUUGGGUGUUUUACGGCAUAGCCACGCCGCUCUCCGCCUGCGAGAUAUUGCUACUACGCAGAGGAGGCCACGACGAGACCGCCACUGUAUUUCGGGGCCGGCCGGUAAAGGGCCGAUCCCCAACGCCGACCCCCCGGAGGGGUUCGAGGGUU
rnacentral:misc_RNA from 1 species